rnacentral:rRNA from 1 species
UACGUAGGGUGCGAGCGUUGUCCGGAUUUAUUGGGCGUAAAGGGCUCGUAGGCGGCUUGUCGCGUCGGGAGUGAAAGCCCGCUGCUUAACGGCGGGUUUGCUUUCGGUACGGGCAGGCUGGAGUACGGCAGGGGAGACUGGAAUUCCUGGUGUAGCGGUGGAAUGCGCAGAUAUCAGGAGGAACGCCGGUGGCGAAGGCGGGUCUCUGGACAUUUCCUGACGCUGAGGCACGAAAGCCAGGGGAGCAAACGGG